CAACAUGUUAAAUAGGCGGUUUCUCUUUCCUUCUUUAAAGAACACGCUCUGUACUCUCUCCCUCUCUUCUUCCUUGGUCGAAGACUUCAAUGGAGAAAGGGCAAGUUUGAAGCGACCUGCAUAGGAAAAGAAAGAAAAAAAGACACUAUUUCAUAGUUUAAAGCUUUGGGGAGUCUUCCUUGGUGAUUGGAAAAGCUAAUAGUUUAAAGCUUUGGGGAGUCUUCCCUGGUGAUUGGAAAAGCUAGCCUAGUGAAAAGCAAGAGGUGUGAAUCCCAGAAAUUCGAACCCUGUGAGACGGACUACACGUGGAUAGCUAAGUUCAUAGUCUUUGUGUAAAACAAGUUAUAGAAACGGAAAGCAUUCAGGAAGUGGACUCUUGGGUGGAGACUGCUCCAUAAACCCCAAGUUUAUUGAGAUUCAUUCUCACCCCGCGUUAUGGGGAUAUAUUUCAGGUAUCGCAGCAGUUGACGAUCGUUCUCGGGGCAAGAGGCCCGUGGUUGAUGAGUAGAUCUGAGCAUAGAUGUUGCCUGCUUAUUUUGGGAGUCUGUUGCAUAUAUUGUGACACUGUGAUGUAUUAUGUUUAUGUAGGUUGAUGUAGGAUGUUGUAGUUAUGGCACAGAGUCACCUUUUUGAUAUGAUAUAUAUAGAGUUAUGGAUCAUGUAUGUAUACUACUGUAUAUGAUAUGGAAUUGUUGUAUAUUGUGGGUUGUAAGAGCCCCAAGGCAUUGCUGGUCCUUGUGUGUGCCACCCAUUGGAUUAUUAGGUAUAUUUGUGGUAUUAGCAAGCUUAUGUAAAUUUGGGGAU